GCCCAACAGCUAGCCUACCCCAAAAAACCAACACCCCCUAUUAAUCCCCCAAAUACACUUCAUUAACAUAAACAAAACGUUUCUCCCCCCUAGUACGGGCGACGGUGGAGGGACUAAGAGCGAU
rnacentral:rRNA from 1 species